UGGGGAAUAUUGGACAAUGGGCGAAAGCCUGAUCCAGCCAUGCCGCGUGUGUGAAGAAGGUCUUCGGAUUGUAAAGCACUUUAAGUUGGGAGGAAGGGCAGUAAGCGAAUACCUUGCUGUUUUGACGCUACCGACAGAAUAAGCACCGGCUAACUCUGUGCCAGCAGCCGCGGUAAUACAGAGGGUGCAAGCGUUAAUCGGAAUUACUGGGCGUAAAGCGCGCGUAGGUGGUUCGUUAAGUUGAAUGUGAAAGCCCCGGGCGCAACCUGGGAACUGCAGCCAAAACUGGCGGGCUAGAGUAGGGCAGAGGGUGGUGGAAUUUCCUGUGUAGCGGUGAAAUGCGUAGAUAUAGGAAGGAACACCAGUGGCGAAGGCGACCACCUGGGCUCAUACUGACACUGAGGUGCGAAAGCGUGGGGAGCAAACAGG
rnacentral:rRNA from 1 species